GCGCCUAUAGCUCAGCAGGAUAGAGCACCAACCUCCUAAGUUGGGUGUCGGACGUUCGAAUCGUCUUAGGCGCGCCA
rnacentral:tRNA from 1 species